UAUGUGAUCGUCUCUCGCAUAUCAAUAAGCGGAGGAAAAGAAACUAACAAGGAUUCCCCUAGUAACGGCGAGUGAAGCGGGAAGAGCUCAAAUUUGAAAUCUUAAAGGGGUUUCCCUUUACGAAUUGUAGUUUAAAGAAGUGUUUUCUGUUGAGGUUUUGGUAAAAGUUCUUUGGAAUAGGACAUCAUAGAGGGUGAGAAUCCCGUAUUUGACCUUUACUUUCAACUUUGUGAUACACUUUCAAAGAGUCGGAUUGUUUGGGAAUGCAGUCCAAAAUGGGUGGUAAAUUUCGUCUAAAGCUAAAUAUUGGCGAGAGACCGAUAGCGAACAAGUACCGUGAGGGAAAGAUGAAAAGAACCUUGAAAAGAGAGUUAAACAGUACGUGAAAUUGUCAAAAGGGAAGCGUUUGACACCAGUGUUGUUUUUCUGAAAAUCAAUUAAAGAACUGUUUAUGCUAAGUUGUUUAGACUUUAUCAGCUAACUGUUUAGUUUUGAGCUUUUCUUUAAUGCACUUUUCAGUUAACAAGUCAACAUCAAUUUCUUUUGCUGUAAAAAAGCUUGAGGAAGGUGGCUUGAGAUUCGUCUUAAGUGUUUAUAGCCUCUUGCCUAUGCAGUCGGAGAGAUUGAGGUCUGCAGCGUAGAUCCUUCGGGGCUAAAUGCAUUUGUGCUAAGUUAUAGCAUUUUAUAGACAACUUGCUGACUAUGAUUUGUCUUGUAGCUUACUCGCUUAUGUUAUUUUACCUACGCUUAGGAUGUUGAUCUACAGAGCGAGAGU
rnacentral:rRNA from 1 species